CCAAAACCGUCACAGAUUCAGAGCUCUUCCCCACUAAUGAAUAACAUAGCAUCUAUCCCGCAAAUUGGCACAAAGCGAUGCCAGCAUAAAAUCUGCUUUUCCUAUUGCCAGUUCCCAUCUACUGUACCUGUUCGGAGUCACUGGUGAAUGUGUCAUAUGAGUGAGCCACUCACUGCAGGCAGAGUCCAUUGCAGUUGGGCAGCUAAUACAUUUGAAUAAGUAAAUAGGCAAAACUGGGGGCUCCCCGCUGGCCUUGCUCCCUCUCUUUUCAGCAGCCAGCACGGAGACCAGCAGGAUCGGGGGGGGGGCACUGGCUUCAGGACUCUGGCUGGGCUUCUCUGCCCCCUCCCCACCCCACUCAGGAAACCUGCAGUGUGGGAAGAGGCCAGGGCAGGAGCAGCCCAGAAGCGAGGAGGAGGACCCCCGCCCCCCACUCCCCGUGAUGGUGCAGUUUGGGCCAGGGCAUUCUGGGAAUUACUUUGCUUUUUGCUUCUCACUCUAUUGGUCAACUAGAGGGAACACCCUGACUGGCUCCUGAGGAUCUCUGCCAGUGGAAAUAGUGCCGUAUGGAAAUGACCUGUGUUGCAGAAAAGAUCACGAGGACUGAAAGGUGGAGUGAACAUGCAGGCGAAUCCUACUUAAAAAUACUUGAGAAGUUUUGAGGUGGCAUCCCCCACAAUGCUAGAACACACACAUACGAAUUUGUAUCCCCAAGAAAUCCAUUGCUUGUGAGUGAGAACUUAAAGAACAAUAUCCAUAUUCUGGAACUGGGGAAGGCUGCUUGUGAAAAUGAGCCAAGGAAGCCGAGUAAGAGAGGCUUUUCCCCCAAGCGCUGGGGUGAGGACAAGUCUUGCCCAUCUGUAUGGAAGAAAAAUGGGAUUCUGGCCUCAACUGCACCAUGACCUUUACUGUAUCAGCAAACAGAGCAGGUGAAGGGGAGGAAAAUGCUUUAUUUCCUGCCAUCAGGCUACCUUUCUAGGGAGCAGGCGAGGAGGAAUUGCUGCCAGGCAGGUGCAUUCAUGAGGAAAGUCACGGGCAGGGCAGGUGCUAUCCGAGCUGCCCCGCUGGCUUUUUCUGCAGCUGCCUUCGUUGAAUACAGAUGUGAUAAUUAGGAAAGGAGGCCUCCAUCUCGAGCUGCAGAUCAAAGCUGAGGUUGCCUGGAUCAGUCUAAAUCCAGUCUGAAAUUGCUUUCCACUUUACAAGUGCUGAAUCGCUAUCUGGCCAUGGGAAUGGAGUACAUCAGAAUCAAUAAAUGGCUGCUCAGUUCAAAAAGAUGGUCCACAUGUCUGUUCGGUUGAGGAAUGGAAGCAGCCGCACUCCCCCCAAGGAGUGGGCCCAUCUCGUUUUUCUGCUGCUUUCAUCUCCGGGGGAGAGGACACUGACCACCCAGGCAAAGAUUCUUUCUGUCACCUUCAGAUGGACAACCUGUGGCCCCAGAGAGGCAUAUGACCCCGCAAGGGCUCGGGGGCCGCUCCUUCUGCCUCACUCACCAGCAAUAAACCCCAUGCUACGCUUCUCUGCCUCUUUGGUAUAUGAAAUUUUGGACGUUUGUGUGUUGCAAUUUUUGCUUAAAUUCUCAUUAAUUUAAAUAUGGGGAUCGAAUGAGGAA